UAAAGCCAACACUCACCAUGAAAGCUGAGUGGUGUUAAAAACACAGCGUUCCCUGGAGGCAUCGGGCUGCCUGAGAAAGCGCUGGCCACCUGUAGGAACAAAACCAGCCCAGUGCUGUGCUGGUCCUCGGGAAACAUCCACAAAAAUAGGGACACCCUGCAGUCAGGGGACUGUCUGUGCCUCCGUGCCCUGGAGCAGAGGGGAAGGGCUGAGCAUGGACACGAUGGACUGUGGCAGUGGCCAAGGCGAGUCACGAGCUGCAGCAGCGAUGAGCAGAUGGCCAGAGAGCGAUGUCUCACUCCUGUUGAAAAUAGCAAGAAAAUAACCAACGAUUAAGUGUGAUAUGCCAGCUGGACAACUCCAUCACAGGCGAUGCUGGAAUCUCUGCAUAGCUGGUAUGCGUGGAAGGAAGGAAGGAAGGAAGGAAGGAAGGAAGGAAGGAAGGAAGGAAGGAAGGAAGGAAGGAAGGAAGGAAGGAAGGAAGGAAGGAAGGAAGGAAGGAAGGAAGGAAGGAAGGAAGGAAGGAAGGAAGGAAGAUAGAUUAUAUGUAUUAAAAACAAAAAGAAAACAAACCAAAAACUGUUUAGAUACGUUCCAGAUACCAAGACCGUGAAGCAACUUGUUUGGAAAAUGGUUUUUCGCUGAACUGACAUGUCCACAAUGGGUUGAGCUAAUCCCCAGUCCUAACGCUAGCAGGCUUGGUCUUGGCUGAACUUUGCAACUCGAAUCUGUCAUACUUCAAGAGAGAGGAGCCAACAGGACCCCAGCCCCUGGGAUGACAGCCCUGAUCCUGCUCCUUGUGUGUGAGCUGCUGGUGGCGGGGCAAGGGGAGGGUGCCCGAGACCACGCAGCAGAGCUGGGCACGUCAGAGGGCUCUGCUGCUGAGCAGUGACUCAGCCAAACAGUUUAGCUCUGGCUGGCCUUAAAAAUAAGGAUCGGGGAUAAGGGUAAGAGCCCAUUAACAUUCCCAGGCUUCUCAGCACUGACACCAGUCCAGCUGAGCCUAACGCCAGCGCGGUCACACUGCUGGCCAUCCACGCAGGAGAAAAGGUUACCACACUCAAGUGCUUCUCCCCUCCUUCUACCACACUCACCUUACCUACUUAACAGCUGAUUUAUUUCAGUGCUCCCCGACUAACUUGGACUAACCGGGACAAGCAGACUUGUUGAAGCCAUCCCCUCCCCGUGGUGGCUCCUGCCUUUCCCGAGCCACUGACAGCGGGGUGAGGGAGGGAGCACGGCUGUGGCAGGGCUCUGCAGGGCAGCCAGGGAAUCCUCCCUUAUCUCUUUGCAAAGCCUCCAUUUCUCCAAGACUCGGAGAGCCAGACAUCGUCAGUGGUUUCUGGUGUCUGCAGUCAUCAGCUGCACCACGUGAAAAAUUACUCUGCAUCCUUGGUAUCUCCAAAAAGAGCACUGGGAUGUUAGUGGCAAGGGAAAACAUCCAGAGAACUUGGAGGAUUUAUACAGCUGACAAGAGGCACUUUGCCUUUGAAACACAUAUGUGAGAUCUUGAGAAAUACAUCUGAGAAACUACAUAAUAAAUGUAGGUCUUUCUGGAGUAAUUGCCUUCUCUCCUGUGCCCCUUUGAAACAUUUAACACCCUCACAACCUUUUCUGUAAAGUUUGUGGAGCUUUAUGGCCCUCGUUAUUAAAGUCGUUGAAGUCAUUUUUAUUAGGGAGAGGAGGAAUUCGCUCUCUGCAUCACUUCAUACCGAGCCCGCAUCCACUCUGUUUCAUUCUCUCUUAUUUCUUGCGAACAUGACCCGGACCCACUCCAACAUCAGAUGGGAGAGAGAGAAAAGGUCAGACCCAUAAAUUUCUGACCUCGCCGGGUGAAGGUAGGCACCGCACUCAGGUCCCUGCUCCUGACGGCAGCUAUUCCUCGGGGCUGCACAGGCCGUGCUAAAGGGCAGCAGCAGGGACAUCUUUCAUCACGCCCGCUGAAAUGCUCCUCGCUGACGGCCUCGUGUGCGGGGCGCCGGCGAAAUGAGAUGCAAAUGGAUCUGCUGCCAAACAGGUUAAAUGUCAGCACCCAGGGCAAGGCGUUGUUAGGAGGAAGGGCAGCGGGCAUUGCAGAAUUGUUUCAAAGGGGCAAGUGCUGAAAGGUGAGCGAGGCUGUUAGCACGCUUACUGUGCGAGUACCACGCUGGGACUGCUGGGCUUUGGUUCCCUGCAGCCUUCUUCCCAAUCCUUCCCCAUCCACACCCUCAUGGCUCUCCUGUUGGUGUUGCAAUGCAACAGGAGGAGUCUGAGGACCUACGUGGAGGCACCGAGCCCUCCUGGGACCUGAUUUGGGGCUAAAAUGCCUUCUGCUUGCUGGAGGCUGUUCUGAGGGAGGGUGAGAGCCUCAGAUAGGAGAUGCUGGGUGUUGUGCAACUUGGGGCAGCUAAUAGAUACACCACUCCUCUGCGCUCUGACUUGUUUGCUUUAGAGCUAGGCUUUUUAAUCCUACUGGUAUUUAUAUUGUUUUGCAAUGUUUUUAUUAUUAUUCUGAAUCACUAUCCAGGGCUUGUGCUAAGCACAACUUAAUCAAUGCAUUUAUUCUCAUCUGCUUCUCGACUGUAAUAAGCAUCCUGAGACCCUGAGAGAUGCUACUGAGAGAAGCAGACUGAAAACCCCCCUUUCUUUGAUGCUGAAAUGUGCAGUGUUAUUCACAGGGAAGGAACCAGAGCAAGGGACUGCAGCUUGUUUCCUCUGUGCCUGGGGCAAAGGAGGAAAGAUGCUACCGAAAUAAGAGCAUGCACAUAAAAGGUUGUACUUGUAGAUUGACUUAGUGUCUUCCAGGCAAAAUAAUGUAUAAAUAGGAUAGCAAUUAGACAAAUGAGCCACUCUUUUUCUCAAGUUGUUGUAGUAUGUUAUGUUUAAUAUACGCCCAUACUCCCAUGUCCCAUUAGGGACUGCUGUCUUUUGUGCUCUGCAGGCACGGUGGUGUACAUGGAGGGCAAGACUAGACUUAGUCCAGUCACUUUUUGAUGAGUAAACAUUUUGAUGGUAUAUUUUAAUGAUGCGAGUGGAGAAGCUAUCCCGUGAAAGGAUGUUAGUAAGAAAUAGCCAAAGGGAAAAGCAGCUUCUAAUAAGAUAUGAGCAGCUCUGAAACCACAGGGUUUCCCGUCCUAAGCUGAUGGAUUUGUCACUUCCUCCCUUGGCUCUUCCCCAAAUGUAGGUGCCAAACGAAACAAAAACAGUAACUUCAGCUGAAAAUCUUCAUGGAUCAUCACAAUGAUCAAAAAUUGCACUGCAGAGCAUCAGGAAAGUAUCUCCACGAAAAUAAAAUGCUGGUAUAAAAUGUGAGAAUCUCUCUUUCUAGAAAAAGGAAAAUGUGAUAAAUAAUAAAAAGAAAGUGUGGUGUGCAAAGUCAUCAGGAACUUCUGCAGAAAUAGGGCCAGGUCCUGUCUCUAUCAGGGAUCAUCUUAGAUGCUAAUCCUGAAGUAACUUCUUCAGCUAAACAGUUCAACUUUGAGACAGGAAACCAGUGGAAAAGUAGAAAUUUCUGUCACUAAAGAAAUAACAAAUCAUAUCCUUGAUAAUUUCUAUACUUUGGAAUAUGUUUUUUCAUGCAGUAAUUAGUUGAAAUGUGGUAUUAUUCUGAAAAGAUUUUCAAAUGUGAGGAUUAAAUGAUGUCUUGAAAACAAGCAAUAACCAUUUAUACUCUAACAUUAAACUCAAUAAAACUGAAAGAGCAA